UCAGUGCCUCUUGCCUGACCGACUGAGAUCCCGGCAAGGAUCCAAGCAUGGAAUGGUGCCGCCGGGCAACAGCUGUCGCUCUGCUCCUGGCUUCCCUGCUCCUGGACUGACUGAAGCAAGAGUUGAAGCAGCGUGAUUUGGCUUCAUCCUCAGAACAUACCUAAACCAAAUCUCAAUUACUUGCGAAUUAGGCACUCGUUUCUCAGUUCACUAAAAUAAAUAGUACUCUCUGCUGCCAACCA